GACGUAGGGGGCAAGCGUUAUUCGGAAUCAUUGGGCGUAAAGCGCUCGUAGGCGGAUCAGGUAGUCGGUGAAGAAAGACCUGGGCUCAGCUCAGGGAACGGCACCGAUACUCCUGGUCUUGAGGCAAUCAGAGGGUGAUGGAAUUCCCGGUGUAGCGGUGAAAUGCGUAGAUAUCGGAAGGAACACCAGUGGCGAAAGCGGCUUCCUGGUCCAGCACCGACGUUCAGGCACGAAAGCGUGGGGAGCAAACAGG
rnacentral:rRNA from 1 species